rnacentral:rRNA from 1 species
UACGAAGGUCCCAAGCGUUAUCCGGAUUUAUUGGGUUUAAAGGGUGCGUAGGCGGCCCCGUAAGUCAGUGCUGAAAUAUCCCGGCUUAACCGGGAGGGUGGCAUUGAUACUGCAGGGCUUGAGUAAAGUUGAGGUAGGCGGAAUUGACGGUGUAGCGGUGAAAUGCUUAGAUAUCGUCAAGAACACCGAUAGUGUAGACAGCUUACUAAGCUUUAACUGACGCUGAGGCACGAAAGUGUGGGGAUCAAACAGG